rnacentral:rRNA from 1 species
AACGAACGCUGGCGGCAGGCCUAACACAUGCAAGUCGAGCGGACCCUUCGGGGUUAGCGGCGGACGGGUUAGUAACGCGUGGGAACGUGCCCAAAGGUACGGGAUAGCCUCGGGAAACUGAGAGUAAUACCGUAUGUGCCCCUCGGGGGAAAGAUUUAUCGCCUUUGGAUCGGCCCGCGUUGGAUUAGGUAGUUGGUGGGGUAAUGGCCUACCAAGCCUACGAUCCAUAGCUGGUUUGAGAGGAUGAUCAGCAACACUGGGACUGAGACACGGCCCAGACUCCUACGGGAGGCAGCAGUGGGGAAUCUUAGACAAUGGGGGAAACCCUGAUCUAGCCAUGCCGCGUGGACGAUGAAGGCCCUAGGGUUGUAAAGUCCUUUCAGCUGGGAAGAUAAUGACGGUACC